AAUGGGCGAAAGCCUGAUGCAGCAACGCCGCGUGAACGAUGAAGGUCUUCGGAUCGUAAAGUUCUGUCGCAGGGGAAGAUAAUGACGGUACCCUGUGAGGAAGCACCGGCUAACUACGUGCCAGCAGCCGCGGUAAUACGUAGGGUGCUAGCGUUAUCCGGAUUUACUGGGCGUAAAGGGUGCGUAGGUGGUCUUUCAAGUCGGUGGUUAAAGGCUACGGCUCAACCGUAUUAAGCCGCCGAAACUGGAAGACUUGAGUGCAGGAGAGGAAAGUGGAAUUCUCAGUGUAGCGGUGAAAUGCGUAGAUAUUGAGAAGAACACCAGUAGCGAAGGCGGCUUUCUGGACUGUAACUGACACUGAGGCACGAAAGCGUGGGUAGCAAA
rnacentral:rRNA from 1 species